GACCGCUCCGGUGGUCUGAGUAGUUAGAGCGUCUGCCUCGGAUGCGGGAGGUCGCGGGUUCGAACCCUGGCCAAGUCA